rnacentral:rRNA from 1 species
AAUGAACGCUGGCGGCGCGCCUAAUACAUGCAAGUUGAGCGAGAAGACGUAGCAAUACGUUUGUAAAGCGGCGAACGGGUGAGGAAUACAUGGGUAACCUACCCUCGAGUGGGGAAUAACUAGCCGAAAGGUUAGCUAAUACCGCGUACGCUCCUUGGACUUCGGUUCAGGGAGGAAAGCGAUGCCGUGGGUAUCGCGCUCCUGGAUGGGCUCAUGUCCUAUCAGCUUGUUGGUGAGGUAACGGCUCACCAAGGCUACGACGGGUAGCUGGUCUGAGAGGACGAUCAGCCACACUGGCACUGCGACACGGGCCAGACUCCUACGGGAGGCAGCAGUAAGGAAUAUUGCGCAAUGGGCGAAAGCCUGACGCAGCGACGCCGCGUGGGGGAUGAAGGUCUUCGGAUUGUAAACCCCUUUCGGGAGGGAAGAUGGAAUGGGGUAACCCAUUUGGACGGUACCUCCAGAAGCAGCCACGGCUAACUUCGUGCCAGCAGCCGCCGUAA